UUGAUCAAAUAGGAGAGUGUCUAGAGUAAUGGAUUUUGUAGUUGGCUGUGGAAGAUAUCUGUGGGCUAAUGAGAGAGUGGGCAUACAAGCCUGUGAACAACCAUGCACCUCAUCCCUUGUUCUUAUUUGAUGGAAACAUGAUACUUGGCUCUUAUCCUAGCCUGUCAGCGAAAAAGGAAAAGAUCAAAGAGCCCCUUCUUGGGGAACUGUUCAGAAAGGACCUUUGAUCAAAGGCAGCAUCAGAGGUACCAAGGUCUCAACAUCUUUUCCCUCAACCCCACUUUCAGUGCUCAUAAGUGAGAAACUGAUUGAAUAGAAGAAACUGAGUGUGCCUUGGAAAGAGAUUGUAGACAUGAUUCUGACCUAA